UAACAGUUUCUGCAACUUCUCCCUGGGGAUACCGUUAAAAUAAAAAAUCAUAAAGAGUUCGCCGCGUAUUAACAACACAUGGAAGCAUCUCUUUAAGUCAAGUCGUCUUUAACUUAAGAAAACAUGACGUUGAUGAUUUUAUAUUUGGUAUCUCCGGGGAAACCAAUUGAUUGUUGCAGUAGUAAUUUCUUCCUUCUUUUAUGAAACUCAUAAGCGGUAGGAGAGUAUUCCACUCUCGCUGUGAAGGCAAAGACGUGAGUCAUGCUGGAGCGUGUGGAAGUAAGAAUGUUGGCACAAGUAACCGCAAGUGGGGUGAGAUCCCCCACCGCCGAAACACUAAGGUUUCCUGGGCAACGUUGAUCGUCCCAGGGUUAGUCGGGGCCUAAGGCAAUGACGAGAGUCGCAGCCGAUGGACAUAUGAUUAAUAUUUCAUAACUUCUUGUAUAUUCGAUGGAGGGACGAAGAGUAGUAUCGUGGGCCACUUAUUGGAUUGUGGUAUGCAUGUCGCGCAUGAGGGAUAGGUAAAUCCGUUCCUCACAACUGUCAGGCAUGUGUCGUGUGAGGGUUCGCCCGAGCGAAGUCACGAGAGCACACUUCCGAGAAAAGCUUCUAAGAUUAGUAUGCAAGAACCCGUACCGUAAACCGACACAGGUAGUCAGGUCGAGUAGACCAAGGCGAACGAGUGAGAGUCCCCCAAGGAACUCGGCAAAAAAGCGGCCGUAACUUCGGAAUAAGGCCUGCCCCGAGCAAUCGGGGCCGCAGCUAAAGUAUCUCUGGCGACUGUUUACCAAAAACACAGCUCCCUGCGAACUCGUAAGAGGAUGUAUAGGGGGUGACGCCUGACCAAUGCCAGAAGGUCAACUACGGUUGGUGAGAUUAUAUCAAGCUGGACUGUAUAAGCCCUGGUGAAUGUCGGCGAUAACUAUAAUCGUCCUAAGGUAGCGAAAUUCCUUGUCUGGUAAGUUCAGACGUGCACGAAUGGCGUAACGACUGGGGAACUGUCUCAGGGAGUAGCUCGGUGAAAAUACAGUGGGGGUGAAGAUGCCCCCUAGCUGCAGAUAGACGAAAAGACCCCGUGAGCUUUACUCUAGCUUGGUAUUGCGAUUGUUUCCUUACUGCGUAGAAUAGUGGUGAGAGGUUUGAUGUAUAUGGUUUCGGCCGUAUUCUACUCGACAGUGAAAUAGCCAUCUGUAAUGAGGCAAUCGCUAACGUGAACGGAAAAAACGUUCGCAGACAGUAUCUGGUGGGGAGUUUAACUGGGGCGGUUUCCUCCCAAAAGGUAACGGAGGAGUAUAUUAAGGUCAUCUAGGCGCGAAUGGAAACCGUGCCGAUAGCGUAAGGGCAAAAGAUGGCUUGACUGUAAGACGGGCAUGUCGAGCAGACACGAAAGUGGAUCCUAGUGAACCUACACUACGCUUUAGACGCGGGUGCAGAUUAACGGAUAGAAGCUACCACGGGGAUAACAGGCUAGUUGUGCCCAAGAGUUCAUAUCGACGGCACAGUUCGGCACCUCGAUGUCGGCUCAUCUUAGCCUGGGGGUGAAGAAGCUCCCAAGGGUAUGGCUGUUCGCCAUUUAAAAAGAUACGCGAGCUGGGUUCAGACCGUUUAGUGGUUUUAGAGGUUUAGGAUUUAUUUUUCAUCAUAACUUUUUCUUGUAACAGAAUAAUUUCUUGCUAGAAAUUUUCUUUCUGCUCACCUUUUCACAGGUUCCGCAGAUACAAGAAAAAAUUAUGACUCAAAUAAAUUUUAUUCUAAGAACAUUAGACAAUCUGAAUCCUUAGAGGAAUUUCGUUUAUGAAUAAAGAUAGAACCAAUCAAAUCACGGCGGUCUGUCGAAAGACAGAUUAAAGUUGAUUUAUAUCGGUGAACCCCACAUGAGUGGGUAAUACCGAGGGA
rnacentral:rRNA from 1 species